rnacentral:rRNA from 1 species
UACAGAGGUCCCAAGCGUUGUUCGGAUUCAUUGGGCGUAAAGGGUGCGUAGGUGGCGCCGUAAGUCAGGUGUGAAAUCUCGGGGCUUAACUCCGAAACUGCAUUUGAUACUGCGGUGCUUGAGGACUGGAGAGGAGACUGGAAUUUACGGUGUAGCGGUGAAAUGCGUAGAUAUCGUAAGGAAGACCAGUGGCGAAGGCGGGUCUCUGGGCAGUAACUGACGCUGAGGAGCGAAAGCGUGGGGAGCGAACAGG